CUGAAUUACACUGUGUUUGUUAUAAUUAACUUGAUGUUAAAGUCAUUGAAGCACAAUUGAAGAGAUGCUGAGGUUUAAUAUAUACUAGAGAAGAAAGGUCAAAAGAGGAUUCUAUUUUAAUAACAUCUGUAAUGUUUAAAAUACUUUGUCAUUCCUUCACCUGAUGGAAAUGAAUGAUAGACAUAUGUUUUUCCUUCAUUUAUUAAACAGCCUUUGUCAUCCUCUUCAAUCAAGUAUUAAAGAGACAGUGGAGGCAUAUGAGGCAGCAUUAGGGGUGGCUAUGAGAUGUGAUAUAGUACAGAAGAUAUGGAUGGAUUAUCUUGUCUUUGCGAAUAAUAGAGCUGCUGGAUCCAGAAACAAAGUUCAAGAAUUCAAAUUUUUUACUGAUUUAGUGAAUAGAUGUUUGGUUACAGUCCCUGCCCGAUACCCCAUUCCUUUUAGCAGUGCUGAUUACUGGUCCAACUAUGAAUUUCAUAAUAGGGUUAUUUUCUUUUAUUUGAGCUGUGUUCCAAAGACCCAGCAUUCCAAAACCUUGGAACGGUUUUGUUCA
rnacentral:sRNA from 1 species